GGAUGGUAUAUGUUAUACAUCUCAAGCUUGCCUAUUAACCAGUCAAAAAUAGGGAGAGCUUUUGUAAGAAUGUCUGCAACCUAUUGUGUGUUCUUCAAGGAGUUGUUUCAGCCAAAGAGCUUCACAUAUACCAAUAGCAGUGGAACGAAGCUCGGUCUCGGCACUACUUCUUGCUACAACGUGUUGAUGCAUGUUACACUAAUAAUCAAACUCAGAGUUUGAUAUAUGACAAAGGUUGAUAGCUGGCAUAAAGUCCAGAUUGGUUGACAUCUUGCAGGAGGAAGCCUAGUUGAGUUGACAAUUGGCUGAAGUCCAUAUUAGUUGAGAUAUAACAGGAAGUCAUGGUGGGUCAAGAGACCAGACAUCAAGGAAGUCUGCGAUUGG